UUCUUGAACCCGUAUCAUCAGAGGUUCAUCGGCCACAUGUCGUUUUCUCAUUCGUCACAGGGUAAAUGGGAAAACAAAUUUCGACGCUCUCUCUCCUACUCGGGUCUUCGUUUUGUCGACGAUCCUUCUUUCUCCUCUUGUGGCGAUGAUUCCGUGAGAAGACGAAUCCGUGAGAAGACGAAUCCAUGAGAACCCAGAAAUCUUUUACGAAUUACACGAGACUAGUGCCCUGAUUCGCCGCGAGCUUGACGGAUUAGGUGCCUCCUACUCUUUCCUAGUCGUGAAAACCGGGAUUGUUGCUCAAAUCGGGUCGGGUUCUCCUCCGUAUUGCUCUCCGAGCCGACAUAGACGCUCUCGACAGCAAAAUCGACGGCAAAAUGCAUGCUUGUGACAUAAGCUCAAUGACUUUAAGUGCCAAGGAUGCUUCAACAUAACCACUUUAGCCAUUCUCAAACAGUUGUAAUGUGUGGAAACUGUCAGACAGUUUUGUGCCAGUCCACCGGUGGUAAAGCGAAGCUCAGAGGGAUGCUCUUUCAGGAAGAAGUGAGGGUAAGAUUCCAACAAAUCAUCAUCUGUUGAGAAAGAUUUCUUGUUUAGUAUAAUGUCCAUUACGGUUUUUUAUUUAUUUGCUUAUGAGAAAGAUUUUGAAGGAAUGAAACUAUUACAGUAGAAUCUACGUUCCUUUCUCGAGUUUCAUCAGUUGUCUUGUUUCUUGUUCAUGUUUGCAUGUUGGUUGUUGUCAUUCGC